GUGCUGGAGAUGCCAGACGGUUGGUUCUGAGGAGAGAUUUUGCAACGCAAUGGAGCGAGGAAGGAUGUAGGAGCUAUGUUGCCGCAGCCUCUGGGCUCCGGGAUCCGAGAGCUCUUUUGUAUCGGCCGGUGGAAUCUUUGGAUGUUCGAGCUGUAUUGCCGCGACCUGUAGAUUCAGGGAUCGUUUACACUUGAGAAGAACUACUGAACAGCACGUGCCAGAGAUUGAGGUCCAGGUCAAACGUAGAAGGACAGCCUCACUGAGCAACCAAGAGUGUCACUUGUACCCAAGGCGUUCUCAGCAACAGCAAAUUCCUGUGGUGGAUUUCCAGGCAGAACUGAGACAGGCGUUCUUAGCUGAGACACCAAGAGGUGGUUAAAGCAGUAUUGGAACUGUGGGGUGGUGGAAGUCAACAAAAACAGGACCUAUCCACUGAUUGUGAAACUUUGGUCAAGCUUACACUGUGUUAAUAGCCUGCAUCAAACCUUUAUUUAUUGCCCUUCUCCAAGUAUUAAGGAUCUUGAAAUUUUAGUGUUGACAACUGCUA
rnacentral:lncRNA from 1 species